CCUACGGGUGGCAGCAGUGAGGAAUAUUGGUCAAUGGACGAGAGUCUGAACCAGCCAAGUAGCGUGAAGGAUGACUGCCCUAUGGGUUGUAAACUUCUUUUAUAAAGGAAUAAAACGAGGCACGUGUGCCUUUUUGCAUGUACUGUAUGAAUAAGGAUCGGCUAACUCCGUGCCAGCAGCCGCGGUAAUACGGAGGAUCCGAGCGUUAUCCGGAUUUAUUGGGUUUAAAGGGAGCGUAGAUGGGUUGUUAAGUCAGUUGUGAAAGUUUGCGGCUCAACCGUAAAAUUGCAACUGAUACUGGCAGUCUUGAGUAUAGUUGCGGUAGGCGGAAUGCGUGGUGUAGCGGUGAAAUGCUUAGAUAUCACACAGAACACCGAUUGCGAAGGCAGCUUACUAAGCUGUGACUGACAUUGAUGCUCGAAAGUGUGGGGAUCAAACAGGAUUAGAUACCCGGGUAGUC
rnacentral:rRNA from 1 species